rnacentral:rRNA from 1 species
AAGGAUCAUUACCGAGAGAGGGGCCUCGCGCUCCCGGGGGCUUCGGCCCCCAACUCUUCACCCGCUGCGUACCUACCUUUGUUGCUUUGGCGGGUUCCGGGCCGCCUCCCGGCCCGGACAGCGCCCGCCAGAGGCCCCUUCAAUUCCGUUCAUCAGUGACGUCCGAGCCAAAAAAAACACAAUAGCAAAAACUUUCAACAACGGAUCUCUUGGUUCCAGCAUCGAUGAAGAACGCAGCGAAAUGCGAUAAGUAAUGUGAAUUGCAGAAUUCAGUGAAUCAUCGAAUCUUUGAACGCACAUUGCGCCCCUCGGUAUUCCGGGGGGCAUGCCUGUUCGAGCGUCAUUACACCCCUCAAGCGUAGCUUGGUAUUGGGCCCUCGCCCCCGCGGCGUGCCCGAAAAUCAGUGGCGGCCCGGUGCGGCUUCGAGCGCAGUAAAUUUUCAUCCCGCUCCGAAGGCCCCCCCGCGGCCGGCCAGACAACCCCGCAACCAUCCAAUAAUUGACCUCGGAUCAGGUAGGGAUACCCGCUGAACUUAA